GACGAACGCUGGCGGCGUGCCUAAUACAUGCAAGUAGGACGCAGUUGCGAACGUGUGAGUAACGCGUAGGUAACUACCUAUUAGAGGGGGAUAACUAUUGUAAAUGAUAGCUAAUACCGCAUACUAGUAGAUGGACCUGCGUUGUAUUAGCUUGUAGGUAGGGUAAUGGCCUACCUAGGUAAAGAUACAUAGCCGACCUGGGAGGGGGAUCGGGCAAAAUGGGAAUGAGGAACGGCCCAGAAUCCUAAGGGAGGCAGCAGGAGGGAAUCUUCGGCAAUGGGGGGAAAGCUGACCGAGCAAAGCCGCGUGAGUGAAGAAGGGUUUCGGGUCGUAAAGGUAUGUUGUUAAGGAAGCGGUACUUAACCAGAAAGGGACGGCUAACUACGUGCCAGCAGCCGCGGUAAUAC
rnacentral:rRNA from 1 species